GACGAACGCUGGCGGCGUGCUUAACACAUGCAAGUCGAACGAUGAACCAGGGCUUGCCCUGGGGAUUAGUGGCGAACGGGUGAGUAACACGUGGGCAACCUGCCCCAGACACCGGGAUAACCUCUCGAAAGAGUGGCUAAUACCGGAUAUGACCACUUCGGGCAUCCGACGGUGGUGGAAAGGAUUCUGGUCUGGGAUGGGCCCGCGGCCUAUCAGCUAGUUGGUGGGGUAAUGGCCUACCAAGGCGACGACGGGUAGCCGGCCUGAGAGGGCGACCGGGCCACACUGGGACUGAGACACGGCCCAGACUCCUACGGGAGGCAGCAGUGGGGAAUAUUGCGCAAUGGGCGAAAGCCUGACGCAGCGACGCCGCGUGAGGGACGAUGGUCUUCGGAUUGUAAACCUCUUUCAGCAGGGACGAAGCGAAAGUGACUGUACCUGCAGAAGAAGCACCGGCUAACUACGUGCCAGCAGCCGCGGUAA
rnacentral:rRNA from 1 species